UACGUAGGGGGCAAGCGUUGUCCGGAAUCAUUGGGCGUAAAGAGCGUGUAGGCGGCUCGCAAAGUCUGGUGUGAAAACUUGAGGCUCAACCUCAAGCUGUCACUGGAUACUGGCGGGCUUGAGUCCGGAAGAGGAGAGUGGAAUUCCUGGUGUAGCGGUGGAAUGCGUAGAUAUCUGGAGGAACACCGGUGGCGAAGGCGGCAUCCUGGACCGACACUGACGCUGAGGAGCGAAAGCCAGGGGAGCAAACGGGG
rnacentral:rRNA from 1 species